rnacentral:rRNA from 1 species
AUUAUAUUGUUAUUUUAAAUUUAUUUUAUUAAAAAUAAUUAUAUUAAAUUAAAUUGUUAUAGUAUAUUAUAUAGAAUUAAUAAUUUUAAUGAUAGUUUAUUAGUAUCGUGAGAGAAUUUUGAAAUAAUUGAAAAAUUUAUAUUAAAAAAGAAAAUUUAAUUUAUUGUACCUUGUGUAUCAGGGUUUAUUAAAUAAUUAUUAUUUAUAUAAUAAUCUCGAAAAAAAAAGAUUUAAGUAUAUAUAAUAGUUAAUGUAACAUAAUUAUUAUUAAUAUAUAUUUAGAAAUUAAAUGUUAUUCGGUUUUUUUGAUAUCUAGUUUUUUAAGAAAUAAAUUUAAUUUAGUUAUUUAAAAUUUUUAUUAUUUUAUUUAUAAUAAAAUAAUAUAAUUAAAUAAUAUUAAUUAACGGGAUGAGCUGUUAAUUAAAUUUUUAAAAAUUAAUUUUUUUUUAAAUUUUUAUAUGCUUAGAAUUAGCAAUUAUUUAAAAUUUUGUUUUAAAUUGAUUUUAUUUUAUUGUAUAAGAUUUAUUAUAUUUUAAAUUUUUUAUUAAAAUUUUAUAUUUAAUAUAAAAAUAUAAAUAAUAAUGAUAAAAUUAGUAUAAAUUAUUUUAUAAAAAUUAUUUAAUUUGAUAGGUUUUUUUAAGGAAUUCGGCAAAUUUUAUGUUCGCCUGUUUAACAAAAACAUGUCUUUUUGAAUUUUAAUAUAAAGUCUAGUCUGCCCUAUGAAAAUAUUUAAAUGGCCGCAGUAUUUUAACUGUGCGAAGGUAGCAUAAUCAUUAGUCUUUUAAUUGGAGGCUUGUAUGAACGAUUGGACGAGGCAUAAGCUGUCUUAAAGUAAAUUUAAUUAAAACUUUAUUUUUUAGUGAAAAAGCUAAAAUUUUUUUAAAAGACGAGAAGACCCUAUAGAUCUUUAUAAUUUAAAAUAUUAUUAUAAAAUAGGAUUUAUAUUUGUAUAAUAUUUAUAUUAUUUUGUUGGGGUGACAUUGAAAUUAUAAUAACUUUCAAUAUUUUAAAACAUAAAUUCAUGAAAUUUUGAUCCUUUAUUAUAGAUUAAUAAUUUAAGUUACCUUAGGGAUAACAGCGUAAUUAUUUUGGAGAGUUCAAAUCGAUAAAAUAGAUUGCGACCUCGAUGUUGGAUUAAGAUUAAUUCUAGGAGUAGAAGCUUAGAAUAUUAAGUCUGUUCGACUUUUAAUUUCUUACAUGAUCUGAGUUCAAACCGGCGUAAGCCAGGUUGGUUUCUAUCUUUAAUCUAAUUUAAUAUUUUAGUACGAAAGGACCAAAUAUUAAAAAAAAUAUUUUUUUUUAUUUAGAAUAUUAUUAAAUUUA